rnacentral:rRNA from 1 species
GACGAACGCUGGCGGCGUGCUUAACACAUGCAAGUCGAACGGUAAGGCCCUUCGGGGUACACGAGUGGCGAACGGGUGAGUAACACGUGGGUGAUCUGCCCUGCACUUCGGGAUAAGACUGGGAAACUGGGUCUAAUACCGGAUAGGACCACUGCCUGCAUGGGUGGUGGUGGAAAGCUUUUGCGGUGUGGGAUGGGCCCGCGGCCUAUCAGCUUGUUGGUGGGGUGAUGGCCUACCAAGGCGACGACGGGUAGCCGGCCUGAGAGGGUGACCGGCCACACUGGGACUGAGAUACGGCCCAGACUCCUACGGGAGGCAGCAGUGGGGAAUAUUGCACAAUGGGCGCAAGCCUGAUGCAGCGACGCCGCGUGAGGGAUGACGGCCUUCGGGUUGUAAACCUCUUUCAGCACCGACGAAGCGCAAGUGACGGUAGGUGCAGAAGAGGGACCGGCCAACUACGUGCCAGCAGCCGCAGUAA